AUUGAACGCUGGCGGCAUGCUUUACACAUGCAAGUCGAACGGUAACAGGCCUUCGGGUGCUGACGAGUGGCGAACGGGUGAGUAAUGCAUCGGAACGUACCCAGAGGUGGGGGAUAACGCAGCGAAAGCUGUGCUAAUACCGCAUGUGAUCUGAGGAUGAAAGCGGGGGACCGAGCAGCAAUGUUUGGCCUCGCGCCUUUGGAGCGGCCGAUGUCGGAUUAGCUAGUUGGUGGGGUAAAGGCCUACCAAGGCAACGAUCCGUAGCUGGUCUGAGAGGACGACCAGCCACACUGGGACUGAGACACGGCCCAGACUCCUACGGGAGGCAGCAGUGGGGAAUUUUGGACAAUGGGCGCAAGCCUGAUCCAGCAAUGCCGCGUGCGGGAAGAAGGCCUUCGGGUUGUAAACCGCUUUUGGCAGGAACGAAACGGUGUCCGCUAAUACCGGGCGCUAAUGACGGUACCUGCAGAAUAAGCACCGGCUAACUACGUG
rnacentral:rRNA from 1 species